UUGACUGUUGUGUCGAGAAACCAACGGCGACAUGCACGAGCUCUUCCUGCCAAGUUUUGUUUCACAAUCUCGUCCUUCUUCAGCCUCGGCCCAGUGUUAAUGGAUCGACGCUCACGUAUUUCACGUGUACUCUGGUAUCUAUCUAUUUAUCUAAGAUAUGGAGAGCUCUAGGCUAGAGCAUUCUACACAAUGGGGCAAAUGGCCUCCUCUGGAAUUGGGAUCUUUUUGAUCAUCCUGGCAUUAGCGACAUCAGCAUCGUCCUCCAAGUUGUGAAACAGUGCAAGACCUACACCUUCCAAGGCCAGUCCCUAUUUUACGGACACGGGGAUCAACGAAACCGAGUUCUACGUUCUUCCCAAAGACAACGCUGGUAGACCCGGAUCAAUGCAGACAUUCGCAGCCCCAUUCUCGGUCUCCACCAAGGGCUAUACCAGGUUAUCCAUGGGGACAUACAUGGGAAUCCUUGCAAACACCGGCCUGGGGAGCUUCCAGUCCUCGCAUUGCUCCUUUGCUGAUGGUAGCAGCCUCGAGUUUCAAGGCGAGGCCGGGAGCUCGACCGCUGGAUCUCAAGCUCUCUUCGCCAUCGUUGGUGGCACCAGAAGACUUGAAGGAGCCACGGGCACAGCGAAAGAAACAAGCAAAGGAAACAAUCUCUAUGUCGUGGAAUUCACCGCAAAGGUCUGCAAGUCUUGAUCAUAACUCAAUCUGGUUUGAUCAAGACUUAAAGGCAGUUCCCUUUAGGUCACGCUAAUAAUCGUUGUUUAAUCUCGCCAUGACUGUGUGGAGAGC